ACCCUUGUGAGCAUCUUAUCUAGAGAGUGCUCCCAUUAGAUACCUCUACCUGAAGAACAUUUUUCUGUUCUAAGGACACAUAAAAGUUUCUGCAUCUGGGACAGCAGGGACUUAACUGCUGAAGCUGCCACAGCUGAAAUGUGUCAACUGAAUUCCAGAAGUCCUGGGCUGAGGUACUACCCACACUGCAGCUUCUACUGGGAAUGGUAGAGUCCCAUGCUGGCAUCAGAGGAACAAGGGCCUAAGGACCAGUAGCUCUCAAGAAAAUAAUCACGCUCUUCAGGAAUUCUCUGGGACUGGAAAGAUAAACAUCUGUUACACGGGUAAAGUCUCGGCUGGUUUAUCAGCUCCAAGAGCAUUAACUGCAUGUGGAAUAUCUGGCUGUGAAGAGCACAUCUUAUGUACCAACACCAAAAAAAAGCAUCAGCACACCCAGAAGCAAGAGAUAGCUGAUGAGACCAAAGCAUGGAAGAAUUUUUCACCCUGGAAAACUGCAUUAUGAUGUAUCCCCCUUGUUACUCCAGCAACUCAGACAACUGGCCAUCUGUUGGCAUCUCUGUGUAGGAGAUUCAUACAUGAGGUAAGGCACCUAUCGGGACAGGCAUUCCUUUGGCACAGAAGUUGAUCCACUUGACAAAGCUUCCAAAGUUUUGUAGCUCCGUGUUCCUUCAGCCAGCUGCGUUCUUGUACAGAAUUUCCCUCACCACUUCAGAAGCCUCUGGCCCAGGUGCUUUCAAUGUCUGGUUCCUCUACCACCUUACAGCAGCCCCAGACACAAGUCCUUCUCAGAAGCCACAUUUCACAACCUGAUGAACCACCACUUGGACUCAUUCUUUCAAAAGGGACAGGAAGAAAAAGGUUGUGUGCACUAUUGUACAGACCUUUUAGGUUAACACUUGGAAUGGCAAGAGGACAAGGGGAGGCUGCUUGACAUGGGGAAAGUAGAAUACAGAAAGUCACAUGUGAAGGUGACCUUGCAAUAAUGAUGCAACACCAAGCAGUGCUUACAGACCUUUGGAGCCAAGGCCUAAAUCAAGGAAAGUCAUCGGUAACAGGAGGGCCAUGGGCUCUCACCACGGAGGAGAGCACUCAGGAACAUCCGAGGGCUGCAUGCAAUGGGUGGUUCUUCCACUCAAACUAAAAAUCUCCAGUUCUGGUAAAAAUGCUUUCUAUAUUCAGUAAAAUAGAGUCAAAAAGGA